UCCUCAGCAAUUCCCUUUGGCGUGUGGC
rnacentral:piRNA from 2 species